AGCUCCAAUAGCGUAUAUUAAAGUUGUUGCAGUUAAAAAGCUCGUAGUUGAAUUUCUGGGCUUGCCGAGCGUUGGAUUCUGUCCUUCGUUCCGCGGGUUCAUCUUCGCCCUUCGGGGCGUCUUUUACUGUGAAAAAAUUAGAGUGUUCAAAGCAGGCGAUAGCCGUUGGAUACAUUAGCAUGGAAUAAUAAGAUAUGACCUUGGCGGUCUAUUUUGUUGGUUUGCACGCCUAGGUAAUGAUUAAUAGGGACAGUCGGGGGUAUUCGUAUUCAAUUGUCAGAGGUGAAAUUCUUGGAUUUAGGGAAGACGAACAACUGCGAAAGCAUUUAUCAAGGAUGUUUUCA
rnacentral:rRNA from 1 species